rnacentral:rRNA from 1 species
GUAUGCAAUCUGCCUUUCACAGAGGGAUAGCCCAGAGAAAUUUGGAUUAAUACCUCAUAGCAUAAUCAAGCCGCAUGGUUUGAUUAUUAAAGUCACAACGGUGAAAGAUGAGCAUGCGUCUCAUUAGCUAGUUGGUAAGGUAACGGCUUACCAAGGCGACGAUGGGUAGGGGUCCUGAGAGGGAGAUCCCCCACACUGGUACUGAGACACGGACCAGACUCCUACGGGAGGCAGCAGUGAGGAAUAUUGGUCAAUGGACGCAAGUCUGAACCAGCCAUGCCGCGUGCAGGAUGACGGUCCUAUGGAUUGUAAACUGCUUUUGCACAGGAAGAAACACUCCGACGUGUCGGAGCUUGACGGUACUGUGAGAAUAAGGAUCGGCUAACUCCGUGCCAGCAGCCGCGGUAAUACGGAGGAUCCAAGCGUUAUCCGGAAUCAUUGGGUUUAAAGGGUCCGUAGGCGGUCUUGUAAGUCAGUGGUGAAAGCCCAUCGCUCAACGGUGGAACGGCCAUUGAUACUGCAGGACUUGAAUUAUUGGGAAGUAACUAGAAUAUGUAGUGUAGCGGUGAAAUGCUUAGAGAUUACAUGGAAUACCAAUUGCGAAGGCAGGUUACCACCAAUUUAUUGACGCUGAUGGACGAAAGCGUGGGUAGCGAACAGGAUUAGAUACCCUGGUAGUCCACGCCGUAAACGAUGGAUACUAGCUGUUGGGAGCAAUCUCAGUGGCUAAGCGAAAGUGAUAAGUAUCCCACCUGGGGAGUACGAACGCAAGUUUGAAACUCAAAGGAAUUGACGGGGGCCCGCACAAGCGGUGGAGCAUGUGGUUUAAUUCGAUG